GAGUUUAUAGCUCAAUUGGAUAGAGUAGUGGACGUUUAAUCCACAAGAUAUGAGUUCGAAUCUCAUUAAACUCA
rnacentral:tRNA from 1 species